rnacentral:rRNA from 1 species
ACGCGUUGGGAGCUCUCCCAUAUGGUCGACCUGCAGGCGGCCGCGAAUUCACUAGUGAUUCGUAUUACCGCGGCUGCUGGCACGGAGUUAGCCGGAGCUUAUUCUCCCGGUACUGUCAUUAUCAUCCCGGGUGAAAGAGCUUUACAACCCUAAGGCCUUCAUCACUCACGCGGCAUUGCUGGAUCAGGCUUUCGCCCAUUGUCCAAUAUUCCCCACUGCUGCCUCCCGUAGGAGUCUGGACCGUGUCUCAGUUCCAGUGUGACUGAUCAUCCUCUCAGACCAGUUACGGAUCGUCGCCUUGGUGAGCCAUUACCUCACCAACUAGCUAAUCCGACCUAGGCUCAUCUGAUAGCGCAAGGCCCGAAGGUCCCCUGCUUUCUCCCGUAGGACGUAUGCGGUAUUAGCGUCCGUUUCCGAGCGUUAUCCCCCACUACCAGGCAGAUUCCUAGGCAUUACUCACCCGUCCGCCGCUCUCAAGAGAAGCAAGCUUCUCUCUACCGCUCGACUUGCAUGUGUUAGGCCUGCCGCCAGCGUUCAAUCUGAGCCAUGAUCAAACUCUAAUCGAAUUCCCGCGGCCGC